rnacentral:misc_RNA from 1 species
AUUAUCGAUUGUAACUUAAUGUUUUAAGUUCAUGUAUCGUUUGUUAUUUAAACAAGAAGGCAUUUUUAAAUAACACUCGAUUUGCCGCCACUCACUAUCGAUUCUUGAUUAUCGAGAGAUUCGCGGUAUAUCUAGUAUGACAGUAGUUUAUGGUGCACGGUGCGCCGUUCAUUUAGUGCGGUCAAUGCAAUCAGUUGUUUUCGAGCUACCGAGGGUGAAGGUGGCAUAUUUUUAACCGGGUGUUCUGGUUUGAUUGUCGAAACAAGAAUUGAGUAACAUCAUCAAGACAAUAAACUGCUGUGUCGAACGCAGUUCUUGGUGCGGUUCGUGGGUGUGAACUUGAAGUGUUUUUUUCGUUCAUUCCUUGCCAAAAGUACAUGCUUCCGGAGUGACAGAAUAUUCUACGAGUCGAAGAAUGUUGGAUCGCGACACCGCGAUACACCUCGUUGCUGGAGGAGUGGCCGGUACGACAGGAGCAAUAGUCACAUGUCCUUUGGAGGUGGUUAAAACACGUUUGCAAUCCUCUUCCUCCGGUUUCUACCCGCCCCCGGUGAACAAGGAACUCACUUCCGGUCAUGUCACGUGUAAAAGCUUCCCGAAACCGGAACAGAGGAGAAGACUAUGCACGGGCGGGUACACUAGGCACGCCUUAGUCGCCCUUUCUCACUUUGGCUCGUCUACUCCUCCUGGAGGCUCUCCCUAUCACUCAGCACCAGGUAUCUAUCAGUGCAUAAAGUACAUCGUUCAAAACGAAGGAACUCGAGCCCUAUUCAAAGGACUCGGCCCAAAUCUAGUGGGAGUCGCACCCUCCAGAGCAAUUUAUUUCUGCGCCUAUUCUAAGAGUAAGAUAGCGUUCAACGCUAUCCUUACUCCGGAUACACCGCUCGUUCACGUGUUCUCCGCAUUCUGCGCUGGUUUCGUGGCAUGCACGUUGACAAAUCCUAUUUGGUUCGUGAAGACCAGGCUACAACUGGACCAUCGGUCAAACAAAAUCACCGCGAUGGAAUGUGUGCAAAGGAUAUAUCGACAAUCGGGUAUCCUGGGAUUCUACAAAGGCAUCGUGGCCUCCUACGUAGGAAUAAGCGAGACUGUGAUACACUUUGUGAUCUACGAGGCUGUGAAGGCUUGGCUAGCGACGUACAGGAUUCCUACGAUAGACGAUCGCAAAACGUUGCGCGAUUUCCUAGAGUUCAUGGCGGCCGGCUCCUUCUCGAAAACAAUCGCGUCUACCAUCGCUUACCCCCAUGAGGUAGCCAGAACACGACUGAGAGAGGAAGGUACAAAAUACCAGGCUUUCUGGCAAACGUUGAGAACCGUAUGCGCAGAGGAAGGGCCGCAAGGAUUGUACCGUGGCCUGGGUACUCAUUUGAUCAGGCAAAUACCGAACACAGCGAUCAUCAUGGCAACGUAUGAGGCGGUGGUGUACCUCCUGAGCAGGCACUUCCAUCAGCAGUCGUUGUUGAACAAUAACAACGAGUCACAGUUCUAUGCGGAGACGAAGUCGAAAAGCGAACUCGCCUAGGACUUGCUUACGGCCCCUGAGUAAAGGGCCAUUCGCUCGUAGCGAAUCCUGAAGCUGCGUCCAACCUCGUAAACACCGUCCAGAGCGUCGCGAUGCCGAGGAGACGCCCAGUGGACACGCGUUUCCAAGCUUGCAGAGAGCUGGGGCCACCUUAGCUGUCCAGAUUCGUUACGUGGAAGGUAGCAAAAGGUAGCGUUCGUACACAUGCGGAACAGCCUCUGUCUGUCUGUACAUCGCCAACGUGCAUGGAAUACGAAGCAGGGAAACGAAGCUGGAAUUUAUGAGUCGGUUAGAACCCUCAGAGUGCGAUACGUUACCUUUUUUUUAUGUCAUAGUCAAAUUGAUCGUGUUGCCACCGGUAGAACGUUCACGUAAUUUCUUCUUUCAUUGGUAGCAGUAUAAAUACAUACGAUUGAGCCGUGUCAGGCAUACAUCUUUGUCAUUUGUGAAAGUUUUGAGAUUCGGAGAACAUAAAAUUGUAUUGUAUUAAUAGAUUUAGAUUUAUGAUAUUCAGAAUUGUACGGCUUGUAACUUUUGCAUAUGGCUAAUACAAUACACGGAAUUUCAUAUCUUUUUAUCUGAAAGUUCACAAACUCCGUGUCUCAAAAAUCACUGAAAUGAUUGUAUUCAUUUGAUGCAGUAUUACGAUCUCGCUAGAACAACCUUGCGCACUUAAUUUAGGCCACGAAUUAUAAACAGUAGAGAGAACAGAUCGUUGUAUCUAAUUUUAUAAUUGUUAAUAAACCUGUUGAUAUAUCUUACUUCGAUUAGUCGAUAUUGAAACGAUGCGAAAUAAUAGUUAGACCGUAAAAACCUAUUGAACAGAAAAAUAACCAUUUUGUUAUUACUCAAAUUAGAAUCUUACGCAAGUUAAGAUUGCAUCGAAGAUGUGCGAUACGAUUUUAAAUACUGUAUGUAAUUUAUAAAUCAACGAAAACGAAAGUUCGCGAUGUUGAAUGCGUCGAAUAUACUACAACCGAUGAUUCUGUAAAGCGUAGUAAGUAGAUAAUCUUGUACAUAAAAUAAUAAACGCGUUAUACAUACAAUUAUAUAUACAUA